ensembl:lincRNA
UAGAGCUCAACAGGUGGAGUUGAUCAACUAAUUAUCAGUUCAGUGUUCAGUGCAGAGCAGAAAUACUUUCUUAAGUCUACUACAACACAAAGCAUCUCCAAACAAUACUGAAAGCCAAUUACAAGCCAGAAGGCGAAAGGGAAAAAGGGCCUUUGGAGAAACUAAUAAUGGCUGAAGUUUGCAUGGAUUGAAAAUGAGAUGAAAGCCGAGAAGCGGUCAUUUGUCAUCACACAUUAAUGCAGGAUGACCGUACAGAAGAUCAUAUUCUGGCCUGGAGACAGAAAGAAGAUAGCAGAUAAGUGGCGGAUGCGGAGACGACACGGAUGGCUAAUCCCAUAGGCGGUGUUCUGCUAGCCUUCCCAUGAGCCUCUGCUGCAGAAGGGGAAUGGAUGAAGGGGAUUCAGUGGAUGUUUGUGUGGAGCAGGUCACCUGUAGCGUCCCCACCGGCGUCCCCGGCUGGGCUUUUGGCUGGGAAACUCUACAUAUGGCCCUCUGUGGGAUCAUCCCUGCUGAAGGAUGGAGGAUUCAGCCUCACUCUGACCUGCUGAGCUGCUGAUAAAUGGAGGAACAUCCACACCAGCAGCUUCUGUUCGCCCAAAAACACACUUUUAUACUAGGCCACAUCUGACCAGUGGGGCUCUGGAGAGAUGCAGGGUUGAACUUGUAUAUUUAAAGGGGAGUUAGUGUGCAAAAAUGACACAAGAUGGAUUGAUGCUGGAAGUCCCAAUCAGUCAGUUUUGAGUCAGUGGUAAAAACAGUGGAGGGUCGACUGGGAAAAACACACACCACACCACACCAAAAACCUUGCUCUAUCCUCUAAUUGUUAUGAGCCUCUGAUGGCUUCAUUUGCACUGGAGUUAAUUGGUUUUGCUGGCUGUGUUUGGUGGCGAGUGGCUGGGCAUCGCUUACUCUUUCUUUAAUUAGAUGUGCAAGCUCCUUUAUUUGAUUUCACCUUUUAUUUUAUUAUAUUUUAUUGUUUUUAGUUCUUGAAUAGUUUUUUUUUUUUGUUCAUGAUUUUAUUUAAUUGCAUAACAUUUUCUAUUUUUUAUUUGUAUUUUAUUUUAUUUAUUUUUUAUUAUUUCAUGGUAAUUUGUAUAUUAUUUUAUAUUAUUUAUAUUAUUUUUAGUUUUAAUUUUACAUUUUUAUUUAUUAUUUUAUUUGAGUUUUUCUUUAUUUUUACUCUUUAAUUGUAAUUCGUUUUUAUUUGAUUGUUUUAAUUAAUAAUUUUUUUUAGAUAUUUUUAUUGUUUUUAUUUUAUUUCAAUGUUUUUUUUUUUUUAGUUUUUCAUUAUUUUUAUUUUAUAUUAUUUAAUUUGAAUUCAACCAUAUUUUAUUUUACUUUAAUUGUAUUUUUUAAUUCAGUUUUUUAUUAUUUUAUUUUAUUUAACUGUAAUAUAAUUUUUAUUUAAUUUUUUGUAUUUUUUAUUUAAUUUUAUUGUUUAAAUUUUUUUACAUUUUUUAUUUAUAAUUUUAUUUCAUUCUUUUAUAUAUUUUUUUAUUUUAUUUUAUUUUAUUUUAUUUUAUUUUUUAUUUUUUUAUUUUAUUUUAAAAACCCCUCAGUCUUUUCCCUCUCCAUUCCCAUCUCCUCUGCUAAUUGUAAUGAAGAGCCUCCAACGGCUUCAUUUGCUCAGGAGUUAAUUGGUUUUGCUGGCUAUGUUUGGUGGCGAGUGGCUGGGCGUUGUUAGCUCUCUCUUUAAUUAGAUCUGGCAGCUCCUCAUAAUGAUAAAUGCUGCAGAGAUGAAUGGAAAUGCAAAUGCUGUUGAAGUGGCCCCCGCCAUCAUUAACACUUCCCUGCUGUCAGAUCUAUCAUUGUCAAGUGAAGGAGUGAGAGUUAAAGGGAGACACAUCCCAG